UACGUAGGUGGCAAGCGUUGUCCGGAUUUAUUGGGUUUAAAGGGUGCGUAGGUGGCCCUGUAAGUCAGUGCUGAAAUAUCCCGGCUUAACCGGGAGGGUGGCAUUGAUACUGCAGGGCUUGAGUACAGAUGAAGUAGGCGGAAUUGACGGUGUAGCGGUGAAAUGCAUAGAUAUCGUCAAGAACACCGAUAGCGAAGGCAGCUUACUAAGCUGUAACUGACGCUGAGGCACGAAAGUGUGGGGAUCAAACAGG
rnacentral:rRNA from 1 species